rnacentral:lncRNA from 1 species
UCUCUGUCCUUUGUUUUGUUCGUUUUCUUUCUAGGUUCCUCUCCCGCUUAGGAGGCCUUAGCUGCCUUCAUUUUGUACGCUAAAUUCAUUUUCCUUAAUGAAUGAAGCAGGUAGCUUGCUACCUAUUUUCUCAAAAAAAAAAAAAAACUGUUUGAGCUUGUGAACUACUUGCACCGGGUCCGUUUCGAUCUUUCUAAAGAUUGUAUUGUUUCUGGCC